AUUGAACGCUGGCGGCAUGCCUUACACAUGCAAGUCGAACGGCAGCACGGGUGCUUGCACCUGGUGGCGAGUGGCGAACGGGUGAGUAAUACAUCGGAACGUACCUUAUCGUGGGGGAUAACGCAGCGAAAGCUGUGCUAAUACCGCAUACGCCCUGAGGGGGAAAGCGGGGGAUCGAAAGACCUCGCGCGAUUAGAGCGGCCGAUGCCUGAUUAGCUUGUUGGUGGGGUAAAAGCCCACCAAGGCAACGAUCAGUAGCUGGUCUGAGAGGACGAUCAGCCACACGGGGACUGAGACACGGCCCAGACUCCUACGGGAGGCAGCAGUGGGGAAUUUUGGACAAUGGGGGAAACCCUGAUCCAGCAAUGCCGCGUGAGUGAAGAAGGCCUUCGGGUUGUAAAGCUCUUUUGUCAGGGAAGAAACACCGGCUCUAACACAGUCCGGGAAUGACGGUACCUGAAGAAUAAGCGCCGGCUAACUACGUGCCAGCAGCCGCGGUAA
rnacentral:rRNA from 1 species